rnacentral:lncRNA from 1 species
GGAUCUGCUGCCCUUGGUCCUAAGUGCCACUAUCUGUGCUGAGUUUUUCAAAGGUCAGAGCAGAUUGAACCUUUGUGGUUUCAUUUUCCCUGAUUUUGAUUUUUCUUAUGGGGAACCUGUGUGGCUGCAUUCAAGGUGACUCGAAGAAGCCUUCCAAAAAGCGUGUGAAAAGGAAGCCCUACUCUACUACCAAGGUGACUUCAGGGAGCACAUUCAAUGAGAAUAUAAGAAGAUAUGCUGUGCACACCAACCAGUGUAGGAGACCUCAUGGCUCCCGGGUAAAGAAGAAGAGGUACCCACAAGAAGAUGACUUCCAUCAUACAGUCUUCAGCAAUCUUGAAAGAUUGGACAAGCUUCAGCCCACUCUUGAAGCCUCUGAGGAGUCUCUAGUUCACAAGGACAGAGGAGAUGGAGAGAGGCCAGUCAACGCGAGGGUGGUGCAGGUGGCCCCUCUGAGGCUUGAAUCUACUCCCCAUGAGGACACCGUACAUGACAUCACUAACCAGGACGCCACACACGACAUCGCUAACGAGGAUACUGUCCACGGCAUCGCUAACGAGGCCGCCGACAAGGGCAUCGCCAACGAGGACGCCGCCCAGGGCAUCGCCAACGAGGACGCCGCCCACGGAAUCGCCAGCGAGGAUGCCGCCCAGGGCAUCGCCAACGAGGUCGCCGCCCAGGGCAUCGCCAACGAGGACGCCGCCCAGGGCAUCGCCAACGAGGACGCCGCCCAGGGCAUCGCCAAGGAGGACGCCGCCCACGGGAUCGCCAAGGAGGACGCCGCCCAGGGCAUCGCCAACGAGGACGCCGUCCACGGCAUCGCCAACGAGGACGCCACCCAUGGCAUCGCCAACGAGGACGCUGCCCACGGCAUUGCUAACGAGGAUGCCGUGCACGGCAUCGCUAAUGAGGACUCCGUAUACGACAUCGCUAAUGAGGGUGCCGUAUAUGACAUCGCUAAUGACACCGUACAAGGCACGCUAACGAGGACGCUGUACACGACAUCGCUAAUGAGGACACCAUACAAGGCAUCGGUAAUGAGGACGCUGUAUACGACAUCGCUAACGAGGACACCAUACAAGCCGUCGCUAACAAGGACACUGUACACAACAUCGCUAAUGACGGCACCGUACAAGACAUCACCAAUGAGGGCGCUUUAUACGACAUUGCUAAUGAUACCGACAAGGCACGCUAACGUGGACGCUGUACACGACAUUGCUAAUGAGGACAGCGUAUAAGACAUCGCUAGUAACUAUCGCAAGAACAAAAAACCAAACACCGCAUAUUCUCACUCAUAGGUGGGAAUUGAACAAUGAGAUCACAUGGACACAGGAAGGGGAAUAUCACAUUCUGGGGACUGUUGUGGGGUGGGGGGAGGGGGGAGGGAUAGCAUCGGGAGAUAUACCUAAUGCUAGAUGAUGAGUUAGUGGGUGCAGCGCACCAGCGUGGCACAUGUAUACAUAUGUAACUAACCUGCACAAUGUGCACAUGUACCCUAAAACUUAAAGUAUAUAUAUAAAAAAAAGACAUCGCUAGUGAGCACGCUGUAUACGACAUCGCUAAUGAGGACACCAUACAAGGCAUCGCUAACGAUGACGCUGUACACAACAUCACUAAUGAUGACACCUUAUAAGACAUCGCUAAUUAUGACGCUGUAUACGACAUCGCUAAUGACACCGUACAAGGCACGCUAACAAGGAUGCUGUACACAACAUCGCUAAUGAGGACAGUGUACAAGCCAUCGCUAAUGAGGACACUGUAUAUGACAUUGCUAACGAGGACACUGUACAAGGCAUUGCUAACGAGGACGCUGUACACAACAUCGCUAAUGAGGACACCAUAUAAGACAUCACCAAUGAGGAUGCUCUAUAUGACAUCGCUAAUGACACCCACAAGGCAUGCUAACAAGGACGCUGUAGACGACAUUGCUUAUAAGGACACCGUACAAGACAUCACUAACGAGGACGCUGUAUACGACAUCGCUAAUGAGGACGUUGUAUAUGACAUCGCUAAUGAGGAUGCUUUACAAGACAUAGCGAAUGAGGUUGCUGUAUAUGACAUCGCUAAUGAGGACAUUGUAUAUGACAUCGCUAAUGAGGACGCUCUAUACGACAUCACUAAUGAGGACGCUGUAUACAACAUCGCUAAUGAGGACGCUGUAUAUGGCAUCGCUAAUGAGGAUGCUGUAUACGAAUUCGCUAAUAAGGACGCUGUAUAUGACAUUGCUAAUGAGGACACUGUACAAGACAUCUGUAAAAAAGAAGAUGCUGCCAAUGAGCCAUUGACACUGGAGAAUGAUACCUACCCUGAAAUAACUCACUUCCUGAGGAAAAAACGCCAUCUCUAGGAUUUGAUUGUGGAGAGCAUAUCUGAUGAUGGGGAUUUGUAGGACUUUAAAAAGCACUCAUGUUUCCAUCCUCACUGUUGACUCCUGGCUUAAAGGGAUCUCCCGGGGUGAGUGAGGAGGCGGGAUCGGACCCUGGCAGUCUGACGGCAGCACCUGUGUUCCUCUGCACUGGGCCGUGGAUGACAUUACACACCUUGCCACUCCCACGGUCCUGUGUGUUCCGGAUAUUUUAAAAUAAUGGCUAUAAGGUUGAGCACUUCAGGAUACGCUGUUUUGCUGUGUGCAGAUGGAGGCAGUGGCUGGAGUGAAUGAACGGCAACACUUGCUGGCAACCGGCAGAAGCUGAGAGACAGGGAACAGGCUCUCCUCCAGAGCCUCCAGGAGCCAGGCCUUUGGACACCUUGAAUGUGGGCUUCUGGGAGACCAUGCGUUUCUGUUAUAAGCAGCCCAGUCUCUGGCAGUUUUUACGGCUGCCCCGGAACACUCAUCUAUACCUGUCUGACAAGGUCAAGCUCCAAGGAAGGGACUCUCUACAUAUCUACAUUGUUUGCAGAUUUUACAAUAAUCAUUUAUUCUUGCAUGGCUGAUCAUUGUUAACCAAUACAAAUAAAAUAAUAAAGAAAUGACCCACAUUUUA